GCUCCUAAAGCCAAGCCAUUUGGAUACAUUGAUCGACACAUCGCAGUUUGGACCAAGGGUAAUUUUUGAGCAUAAUCUGCUCAAUUGGCAAGCGCAACAGGGAAUAAAAACACAAGCCAUUCACACUGAGGCAUGCGCUUUAUUGGCAAAUGAAUAUCGUGGCGAGGAAUCUUUUGAAGCAAUACUCAGUAAGUCGGCGGGUGGAUCACAAAUCCUGAAAUAAUA